AUUGACCGCUGGCGGCAGGCCUAACACAUGCAAGUCUAACGAGUGGCGGACUGGUGAGUAAUGUCUGGGAAACUGCCUGAUGGAGGGGGAUACCUACUGGAAACGGUAACUAAUACCGCAUACCAUCGGAUGUGCCCAGAUGGGAUUAGCUAGUAGGUGGGUUAACGGGUAACCUAGGCGACGAUCCCUAGCUGGUCUGAGAGGAGGACAAGCCACAAUGGAACUGAGACACGGUCCAGACUCCUACGUGAGGCAGCAGUGGGGAAUAUUGCACAAUGGGCGCAAGCCUGAGGCAGCCAUGCCGCGUGUAUGAAGAAGGCCGUCGGGUUGUAAAGUACUUUCAGCGGGGAGGCGUUACCCGCAGAAGAAGCCCCGGCUAACUCCGUGCCAGCAGCCGCGGUAAUUC
rnacentral:rRNA from 1 species